CCUCCGUUCUUCCGCCGUUCUUACUAUUUUUCCCUUUCCUCGCUUCUGCCCCCGCCCCGUCGCGUGAAGGAUGACUGCCCUAUGGGUUGUAAACUUCUUUUAUAUGGGAAUAAAAUGUUCCACGUGUGGGAUUUUGUAUGUACCAUAUGAAUAAGGAUCGGCUAACUCCGUGCCAGCAGCCGCGGUAAUACGGAGGAUCCGAGCGUUAUCCGGAUUUAUUGGGUUUAAAGGGAGCGUAGGUGGAUUGUUAAGUCAGUUGUGAAAGUUUGCGGCUCAACCGUAAAAUUGCAGUUGAAACUGGCAGUCUUGAGUACAGUAGAGGUGGGCGGAAUUCGUGGUGUAGCGGUGAAAUGCUUAGAUAUCACGAAGAACUCCGAUUGCGAAGGCAGUUCACUGGACUGCAACUGACACUGAGGCUCGAAAGUGUGGGUAUCAAACAGGAUUAGAUACCCUUGUAGUC
rnacentral:rRNA from 1 species